GUACUCGCUUCAGCAGCACAUAUAGUAUUAAAAUUGGAAUAGUACAGAGAAGAUUAGCAUGGCCCCUGUGAAGGGUGACAUGCAGAUUCGUGAAGCAUUCCAUAAAAGA
ensembl:snRNA U6 U6 spliceosomal RNA